UACAGAGGUCCCAAGCGUUGUUCGGAUUCACUGGGCGUAAAGGGUGCGUAGGUGGUCAGGUAAGUCUGAUGUGAAAUCUCUGAGCUCAACUCAGAAAUGGCAUUGGAUACUAUUUGGCUAGAGGGUCGGAGGGGGGACUGGAAUUCUCGGUGUAGCAGUGAAAUGCGUAGAUAUCGUAAGGAAGACCAGUGGCGAAGGCGGGUCUCUGGACAGUUCCUGACGCUGAGGCACGAAGGCCAGGGGAGCAAACGGG
rnacentral:rRNA from 1 species